ACCACUCUAACUUCACCUUCUCUCUUCUGACAGUGUGCAUCUGUUGUUUUGGUGGUGUUUUUUUUUUUUUUUCCAUUGUACUAGUUACUGUGUUAGUAAAGCCCAAGGCAAGCUUCAGUCUAAGUCCUGCCUACUAGAGCCAGAUAAUUACUUCAAGAACUGGACAUCAAAUUCUGUUUUUCUUCCAGAGCCUGAUGUGUUCUCAUGAAAACGAGAAUAUUCAUUUCUCAAGUACCCUGCCUGGGACUUAAAGAAUGCUUUGAAAUCAGUGAUGUUACUUCAACAGAAGUAUUUAUGUGAUCCCCUUAUAAGGAUGAUCCAGAAUCUAUAGAGGCUAAACUCUGUACGGAGGAGCUUAAACUAAGAAAGCGCUUGCAAAGGCUCAUUCAGCCAUCUCAACGCUGGAUGUCUGCUCUCAGUCAGCCACUAACCGGAGAUCCAGGCUUGUCCAACUGUUGCCAUUUCACAGUGAUUGAUUUGCUUCAUUGUAAAUAGGGAGGAACUGAAACAUCCAGUAUGAAUACAAAACUCUUCUGUGACCUUGCACAUCUGUUUCUGGGUCUCUCUUUGGAAGCACUGGAAAGGAAAAGCUUGAAAGAAAGCACUCUUUCACAGGUAUGUACCUGUUUGAAUCUCUGAGACACCUUUAAAAAUAGAGUGGGCAUGUCCUAUCGCAUACUGAGAAGUGAGAGAAAUGAGGGUGGGGUAAGUAUUGUCCUCCCUUGGAAGCUGAGAGAUUGAGGAAGCUCCUUCCUCAUGGCUGAACAUGCUGAGCAGCUGUGUAAAUGCUCUCUGCCCAUUUUGCUUAAAAAGAAACAGGUUUGCACUAACUCCCUUGGAUGGUGGGUGGUUUAAACUAACCUCCCAGCUGUGCACUGAAAUGAAUUAAAGGUAUAUGUACAAUUGACCAUGGUGUCUGGGCUGAAAGACCUUCCACCACAUCGCAGGCCCUCGUUCCAUCGUGCUGUGCUGUUUGCACACAGACUGCUGGUGGCUGCGCAACACAGGAGUGUGGGCCUGGGAAAGGAUCAGGAGUGCUGAGUGUGCAGUCUGCACCCAGCAUCACACCACAGCUUCCCCCAGACGGCACACUGCUGCGCGUGGAGCAGAAAUCUGCCUCUGUUUCCUAUUUUAUAGAAACUGAAAUGACCGCAGUGGAUCUGUCCCUAGCUGCUAUCCAGCAGGCCCUGCUUUAAUUUUAGAAUAUGUUUGGGACUUUCCCUUCUGAGGGUCUUCAGACCUGAUUUUCUGGGUGAGUAUUAGUAAUAAUGGUCCAAAAAAAGCCAAAAAGAAAUAUAUGAAACAUUCUAUUAAGUUUGAAAUGAAAUUCUGAAUAAGAUGUGUGUGUUCUUCACAGAAUAUUUACUUUGUAAUACAACCAUUGAUAAUAAAAAAAAAAAACUGCAGUAGUUUUC
rnacentral:lncRNA from 1 species